CCUACGGGGGACAGCAGUGAGGAAUAUUGGUCAAUGGGCGCGAGCCUGAACCAGCCAAGUAGCGUGAAGGAUGACUGCCCUACGGGUUGUAAACUUCUUUUAUAAAGGAAUAAAGUGAGGCACGUUUGCCUUUUUGUAUGUACUUUAUGAAUAAGGAUCGGCUAACUCCGUGCCAGCAGCCGCGGUAAUACGGAGGAUCCGAGCGUUAUCCGGAUUUAUUGGGUUUAAAGGGAGCGUAGAUGGGUUGUUAAGUUAGUUGGUAAAGUUUUCGGCUUAACCGUAAAAUUGCAAUUGAUACUGGCAGUCUUGAGUACAGAUGAGGUAGGCGGAAUACGUGGUGUAGCGGUGAAAUGCUUAGAUAUCACGAAGAACUCCGAUUGCGAAGGCAGCUUACUAAACUGCCACUGACAUUGAUGCUCGAAAGUGUGGGUAUCAAACAGGAUUAGAUACCCGGGUAGUC
rnacentral:rRNA from 1 species